AUAUAUAUAUAUAUAUAUAUAUAUAUAUAUAUACAUCAAAAACGUCUUUGAUCCGAAUAAAUCUGUAGGAUUGUGUUUCUCUCUUUUGGGAAUCAAUCUGGGGUGUUUCGGGAAUGGAGUUUUCUCGGAAACGGAAAGUAUGUCGCGUUUAUGAGCCUUAGACAAGUCUUGAAAAUUAAUUAUUUGGUGAAAAAUAAUUAAUUUAGAUUUGUUCAGGGGGUGUCAUAAUUCGUUUCGAAAGUUGUCAGUUUCAGGAAACGGAACUGUAAAAUUGCGGGGCUUUUUCUGAAAAAGGUUGGGGAAAAGUCUCUCCUUUUUGACUUUCUUUCCUUCUUUUCUUCUUCUUCUUUCACAAUCAUUGAGAACAAGAAACGCAAAAAAAAUACAGAGGUUUUGUGCGUUGGAGAGAAAGAGAGAAAGAGAGAAAAGAAGAGAGGAGAAGAGAAGAGAAGAGAAGAGAAGAGAAGAGAAGAGAAGAGAAGAGAAGAGAAGCAGCAGAACGCGUUUUGGUAGAACAGAGGAUCGACCUAGCAAAUCGUCUCCUUUCUGGACGUAAUUUUCAGGGAUUGUAGAUCGUUUGUUUCAGACGCGAUUUGGAUCAUCGCCUGUUCAAAAGACGAUCGUGAGUGAACCGGUUAUCUGAUCGUUACGAAAUUUGGUGGAAUUGUAGACGCGAUUUGGGACCAGCGUGGGUUCAGGGUAGGAUCGCGAGUUCAUCUGUGAACGGAUCAUCACGAAACUUUGUGGGUAGCUUCAGGACAUCUAGAGGCUUAUUUUCACCGGAGCGAUUUCGAAGUGAGCGGUUAGAUUUUGUUGCACGAGCCAACCUUUGAGACAGACCGUUUCUGUUCUUUCCCAGUUUAUGGGUUAAGUGUUGUUUUGGUUGUUGGGUUGGCUGUAGGGUGUGAGUUAGAGGAAGGGCGAGCUGUGGUUGGCGUGUGAGUGAGUCACGGUUGGGUUGCUGUUGUGGUUCUUGUCCAAAACUCGUUCCUUGUUUCGAGGUGAGUGCGUGACCAUGAGCUUAUCUAAGCGAUUGGGGUUUUGUGACUUGUUUGUGUGAUGUGUAGGUUGGAUUUUUGAUGGAUCCAAUAGUUUAAACCGUAAGAUGGUUGUGUUAUUGGAUGAUUGUCAUUGGUUUGUUUGUUUUUCAUGAAUUAUGUGUUGAGUUGCGAUCUUCGUUGCUUGUGUGUAUAGCUCGUAGAUGGGAGGAUCGCCUCACUAAGUAUUUUGGUAAUACUUACGCAUCUCUGUGUGUUCUUGAGUUGCAGGUAAGGAUAAAGUGUGAACGUGGAAUCAUGGCGAUGAGGAGGAGGAUGAUCUAGGGUCUCGUCGUUGUUGUUGUAUAAUGUGGUUGUCGAGUCAUAGUAUUUAUGUUUAAUAACUCAAAAACGGUUUGUUUAUGUGUGUUUAAUUUUCGGAUAAUUUGUGUUUUAUGGUUAAACCGGAUUUAUUUAAUAAGUUAAGCGAAUUGGGUUGCUUUGUUUAA